GCUGGAAUUUUACUCCUUCGUCUUUUGCCUCUGUCGUAAAAUUCUCCUGGUUAGGGGGGUGUGUAAUGGAAAAAUAUUUAGAUAACAAAAUACUUCUAUGAAGCCGGACGGGCGAUUAAAUCUGUGUCUCGAAUAGUGUCGAUGAACUGUCAAGUUGGCAGCGAUUCCGUGUUGCCAGGGAGAUAGGUCUGAAUCCCUUCGACACCAGUUCGGUCGACAACUAGUUCUUACCAAAAUAAUUAUUAUCAUUCUCGAUGAACGGGUAGGAAUGUAUAGAUUGUCGAGUCUUCCUUUCCCUUUCUUAAAAAAUAUCAUACCGUGCUUGUCCAGCAGCGUUUACCACGCUCUGGUCUAAUUUCCGUAUUUAGAAUUUCACGUCAGUUUUGUUAAAUGCCUUGGGAUUGUAACCCUGGCAACAUCGAAGAGGAGGCCCCGAGGGAGUGAUUCCGCCAUUUUGGGGACUUGGAUUUUUUCUUUCCCGACCCGACCUAACCGGGGUCGGCUUUAUAUUAAAUAAUUGGGACAACGUUCUCAUCUUUGGUAAGUAAUCUUAUAUUCGUUUGUGAAGACCGUGAAAUUCGGAAUCUGUUGUUGGAUUAUGCGAUUAUUGACGUGAACCGUUUAUUUCAGCCUGCCCUCAGGUGUGCCUUGAGGUUAACCGUUUCCCGAAAGGGCGAACCAGGAGCGUCCUGGGCACUUCGGAGUUGAUAUUCGAUCACUCAUAAACCCCGGCAAGACGAUUUUCCUCCGACAGGAGGUGUCUACUAGGGGCGCGGCCUUUGGUAGGCCAGAUUCUGUGCGAGUCGACCUGUGCAGCUGGCCCCGCCAGAGUCGGAGCUAUUGGAACCUCCGGCCAUCUGGUCGAGAGAGAGCCGUCGACUGUCGCUACAGUGCAGCUAAGCCUUUCACUACUUUUUCCUAAACUGCGAUUUUGGACUAUUCACCUUUUAGUAUUAACUAUCCAAUAGCGCAAUCGACCAAGUAUCACCAACAAUAAUUAAAACCCGGUUAGAUAAAUAUAAAUUUAGUUUACUACCAAUAAGUCGUUAAGUAGUGUUUAAGCUCAAAAGUGUAAACUUAACCAGGCUGGCAAUUAAAUUGUACCUGUCCACUA